rnacentral:rRNA from 1 species
GACGAACGCUGGCGGCGUGCUUAACACAUGCAAGUCGAACGGAAAGGCCCUGCUUUUGUGGGGUGCUCGAGUGGCGAACGGGUGAGUAACACGUGAGUAACCUGCCCUUGACUUUGGGAUAACUUCAGGAAACUGGGGCUAAUACCGGAUAGGAGCUCCUGCUGCAUGGUGGGGGUUGGAAAGUUUCGGCGGUUGGGGAUGGACUCGCGGCUUAUCAGCUUGUUGGUGGGGUAGUGGCUUACCAAGGCUUUGACGGGUAGCCGGCCUGAGAGGGUGACCGGCCACAUUGGGACUGAGAUACGGCCCAGACUGCUACGGGAGGCAGCAGUGAGGAAUAUUGAACAAUGGGCGGAAGCAUGAUGCAGCAACGCCGCGUGCGGGAUGACGGACUUCGGGUUGUAAGCCGAUUUCGCCUGUGACGAAGCGUGAGUGACGGUAAUGGGUAAAGAAGCACCGGCUAACUACGUG